rnacentral:rRNA from 1 species
UACGUAGGGUGCGAGCGUUGUCCGGAAUUAUUGGGCGUAAAGAGCUUGUAGGCGGUUUGUCGCGUCUGCUGUGAAAACCCGAGGCUCAACCUCGGGCCUGCAGUGGGUACGGGCAGACUAGAGUGCGGUAGGGGAGAUUGGAAUUCCUGGUGUAGCGGUGGAAUGCGCAGAUAUCAGGAGGAACACCGAUGGCGAAGGCAGAUCUCUGGGCCGUAACUGACGCUGAGGAGCGAAAGCAUGGGUAGCGAACAGG